AAUUCUUUCUGCCUGGUAUCAUUAAAAAGGAGGUGACAAUUUGGCCUAAGAAAAUUCACGGAAUCCAUUUUGAAAGAAAAUUAUGAGUGGAAAACACCUGAGUUGAAAAGUGGGGAAGUUUCUCAAUCUGCUUACUCCAAGGAAAUUCUUAAAGGAAUUAUAAACACUUAACCUAAUAAGUUAAUUUUUAAUUGUAAAAUAGACCAUCUUCAAUUUUUUGAAGAGCCCUCGUGUGGAGGAAUGCGAUCUCAUGGAAACAGUGGCCUAAAGAAAGUUCUCCUAUUGCUUUUUACUUCCCUUUGCUUGAAAAAAGAUAAACAGCAUAGAAACCUCCAAGAGGCUACCGAGUUCUCUUUGAACUUUUUUCUCUGCAGCUGCGCCUGGAACUGCUCCCUGCUGCACUUUACUACCUCUGUUUAUAAGAGCAACAGUCCCUCUCCUGAAAAUUGGACUGAAUUCCAACAAGUCGGCAACUUGCAUGAAGACAAGGGUCACAGGCGGCUGGAGCCUGUCCCAGCAACUCAGGAUGAAAGGCAUGAACCAGCCUGGGACAGGAGGCCAUCCCAUUGCAAGAUGUACUGCAGUGCCAUGCUGGGUAUCUUAAAGAACAAGGCAUUGUCCUCUGCAGACACCCAGGCUGCAGACUUCAAGGACUGGAAGAAGAGCUUUGCGUCUUCUCUCUUCUCUAUACAGACACAAUCUGUAGCAGCAAAUGUGUUACAGAUGGACAGAAGCUGGGCUAUUAGGGGCCUACAGUGCAUCAGGCAUGGAUCCAUGUUAGAAAAUUGUCCCAAGGAUAACCAGGACCUGCUGGAGCACAGUGAAAUUUGGUGCCGUGACUCGGAUCGGGGGACCCCCCUUGGGAGAUCAAUCCACUGUCCUCCUGCUCUUUGCUCCGUGAGAAAGAUUCACCUACGACCUCAGGUCCUCAGAACGACCAGCCCAAGAAACAUCUCACCAAUUUCAAAUCUGGUUGCAUGUAGAGAUGAACCCCCAGUGGAUUCCUGUGAUGUCCUUUGCAGCAGUGUCAACAGUGAAGUCCCAGAUGACACGACUGGCAAGGAUCUGAGGUUACUACGGUAUCCGGUGGUUAGUGGUCAUUUUGGAGGUUAUGUACAGACUACUAAUAACUUGCUCUCACUAUUGGAGCUGGAGAAGAACUUAAGAAAAAAAUAAAUGCAAAUUAUACCAUAUACUCUUAAAGAACUUCACAAACAGAUGGUUUAUCUUCCCAACACCCAGAAAAAGUAGGCCACAGAACAUGGAUGAAGCUGGAAACCAUCAUUCUCAGCAAACUAACAGAGGAACAGAAAAGCAAACACCGUAUGUUCUCACUCAUGAUUGGGAGUUGAACAAUGAGAACACAUGGACACAGGGAGGGGAAUAUUACACACCGGGGCCUAUCAGAGCGUGGGAGGCUACGAGAGGGAUAGCAUUAGGAGAAAUACCUAAUGUAGAUGACGGGUUGAUGGGUGCAGCAAACCACCAUGGCUCAUGUAUACCCAUGUAACAGACCUACACAUUCUGCACAUGUAUCCCAGAACUUAAAGUAUGAUUUAAAAAUAUAUAUAGAGAGAGAGAUAUAUAAAUUGCUGAGAGUGGAUUUUAAGUGUUCUCACCACACAACAAAAUAAGUAUGUGAAGUAAACAUAUAUUAGUUAGCUUGAUUUAGCCAUUUCACACUAUAUAAAUAUUUCAAAACAACAUGUUGCACACUAUAGACAAUUUUUAUUGGUCAACUAAAAAUAAAAUUUUUAAAGGGAGAAAAUAAGAGAGAAUUGGCAUCAGGGUUGCAAAGGAAUGAAUAAAUACAUGGGCCAUGAAAAACUGAUCAAUAUAAGGGUUUGAGAGGAAGGUGAACAGUUUGCAAAGUUGUAACUUUGAAAGAUCUCCCUUAUUAAUUUAUUUGCUCGUUUAAAAGAGUCAGGGUACAAUGGAAUAUUCAACUUAAUCUAGAAGAGGUAGAGUGGACUGAAAUUAAUUUCCCUCUAACAUGCAUUUGUUGCUCUAAUCAACUAUCUAGAGCUACACAAAAUACAUACGAUUUUCUAAAAUUAUUUAAAUUCUUGAAGGUAAAUGCCAUUUCUUCUCUUAUAGAUGAUAGACCUUCAGACUUUCACAUGACUCUUUAUAAAUAGUCCCCAUGCUCAAAACGACAAACACCACUCUCUUAGAUUUCAACUUAGCAAGGCAUCCCAAACUAAACUUCACAUCCAAGGGAGAAGGCAAAUGAAGGAGAGUAAUGACCAGCUAUUUGUUUGAGACAAUAGGUACAUUCAUCAGAUUACCUCCAAACAUCAGCCAAGGGAUUUUAGUUUGGAACAAAGAUAGUUGGAAUAUUAAUUAUUUUCAAAUGGUGGAAGAGCUGCCAUAGAGAAUUAGAGAAAAUUUUAAACUAGAAGUUUGCAAAAAAUAUAUUCAAAUAAUAGCUUUGUUUUUAUUCUAAAAUGUGACCUUGGCUAAGCCACAUAAUCUCUCUGGGUCUCUGUAUGUGGGAGCUACUGAUAAUACCUGUAUCUCUGUUUCAGGUGAUGAUCAAAAUGCCUAUUUUGUGAUUUGUGAAAUGAAAUGUGCUGUAGGCAUGUAAGGUGAUUUUUACAAAUAAUUAUUUUCUUGUUGUUUUUGAAGUUCCAGAGUACAGGAAAGGAAACAGGAAAAACAUAACUGAGGAAUAGUUGUUAGGUCGGUGAGACAUUGAACCUUCUAACAUCUGAAACUGUCCACUAACUGGCAAGAGCAUUUCAAUAAAAAGCAAACACCUCAUCAUAUUGAAUCAUAGUGAAUAUAUAAAAAGACACUGUACACAUUUCUUCAGAUAUACAUACUGUAAUUGUCAUUCUAAAUUGUUAAAAAAUUACUAUAUAUAGUAAUUCUAAAAUAUAUAAUAUAUAAUACAUAAAUAUAUAUUAUAUAUAUAAAUUAUAUAUAUAUACACACAUAUAUAUUAGAAUGGAUUUCACACUGGGUUUUACUCCCAUUAUGUGAUGCAUAAAAAAGUAAACAACAAUAAAACAGUUAAAUUAAUGAGCUUGGUUGGUUUUCAAAACAUGUUAGGCCCAAUAUGUUAGAGAAUUAAUAUAGGGAUUUUAAAAAUGUGUUAAACUCAACAUGUUCUUACUAAUAACAGGGGAUUUCUGAUAUCAAGGACCAGUUAAUGUGGUUAAUAUUUUGUAUUAGAAGGAAAGGGAAGAGAUGUGCUGGGCAAAAGAGGAAAAUAUAGAUUUUUUAAAAAUAAAUAGAAAUCUGAGCUAAUAUUAAUAAGGGUAAAAAAGGAAAAAGUGAUAACAUCAUGUGGAACAUUCCAGAAGUUAUGUGCAGGGCUCAGUAUGGGGGCAACACAUCAAUAGCAUAUAUAUACAAGGCCAACCUCUUCCUCUCCAUUCCCAGAAAUCUAGUAGUGGGGCACUGUAUGUGUACAGGUAACAUGUUAAAUAGAUAGGCUGUGCUGGAUGCUAUGGUUGCAGAAUGUGGUUGAAGAAGAAUUGCGAAGCCAACAAAGCAAGGGUUGGGGCAGAGUUUAUGAGUUAUAUGAAGUUUGUGUGGGGACUGAGAAUUCUGGAUUUUAGACAUCCUGUGUCCUGCAUGGCAACUCCUCCACCCCCACCAGUCAUGUCAGGUGGAGGCCACUAUAGCAGAUAUAGUACGCCUACAUUAAGGGAAGGAGGUAGUUCUACGUAAUGAAAACUCACUUUCCAAGUUGACCCUUCUUAAUCCUCUGCUGGAAAACCAGUGUACUGUGAUACCCAAGGGCAUGGUUUUAUCCUUUGGUGCCACUAUUCAUCAUAUCCUCAUUGCAUUGGAAAAAUUAAUUGAUUACUCUUGACUUCACUUUUCUGUCAAAUUAAAAUUCCAUUACCAUUCAUUUGAAAAGAUCUGAUGUGGUUUAAGUGAGAUUAUAUAGUGUGUGGAUCAUUGCUCAGCAUGUGAUAAGCACUCAGACAUUUUAGCUAAAUGAAAACAACACUAAUACCAGUACUACUAAAACUGAGCCCUAAAGUAAUCACCUGAGUUUUAUUUAAACAAAAACAUAAUUUUCUUCCAUCUUUCUGUAAAAUUGUUCAACAAGAAAAUAUUAACAUUCAUAGAUGAUUUCAGAGUUUAUAGGAACUUUUGCAUACAGCUCACUUAUCAGAGCAACUCAGUUGGAUCCUGUUAUUAAUUUCCUCACUUUAGAAAUGAAGGGACUGAGAUCAAGAAAAGGAAGUGACUUGCUCAAGGAUACAUAUACAACAAGUAACCAUGCUAAGAAUUCUCAUUUGAUGUGCGAUUUCCCCCAAUCAGUGACUAUAGAUAUAUAUAGAUACAUAGAUGUGUAUAUAUAUAGAUGAUAGAUAGAUACGUAGAUGGGGAUACAGAUACUACACCUGUGUAUACCAUAUCUAUGUAUGUUUAUAUGCUAUUUGUAUGUUCCACUUCGGAUAUCUUCUCACAUUCAGAUAUCUAGUGUCCACAUGUUUUUUUCCCUGGAUUCCUCUCGAAACAUAAUCAUAUGGCAAAUAAAGUGAGUUCUGCAAUAAA